UACGAAGGGGGCUAGCGUUGCUCGGAAUUACUGGGCGUAAAGCGCACGUAGGCGGUCUUUUUAAGUCGGGGGUGAAAUCCUGGAGCUCAACUCCAGAACUGCCUUCGAUACUGGGAGCUCGAGUCCGGGAGAGGUGAGUGGAACUGCGAGUGUAGAGGUGAAAUUCGUAGAUAUUCGCAAGAACACCAGUGGCGAAGGCGGCUCACUGGCCCGGUACUGACGCUGAGGUGCGAAAGCGUGGGGAGCAAACAGGG
rnacentral:rRNA from 1 species